UCCCUGGUGGCUCAGACUGUAAAAGCGUCUGCCUACAAUGCAGGAGACCCGGGUUUGAUUCCUGGGUUGGGAA
rnacentral:tRNA from 1 species